rnacentral:tRNA from 1 species
GUCAAGAUGGCCGAGCGGUCUAAGGCGCUGCAUUCAAGAUUAUAUCUUGUCCAGAAUAACUGGAUUCUGCAGUAUCGAAAGAUUCUUGGGUUCGAAUCCCAAUCUUGACA